UGGGAAAGAAUUUCCCUUUUUACUUUCUGAGCCCUGAAACUGAUUUUAUUUUUCCUAACUGAGAGAUUGCUUCUGUAAGUACACAAUAACAUGAUGUUGAAACAGAAACUAUGAGACUUAAGGAGAACUGGUUGACUUAAAACAUAUACCAGUUCCUUCUUCCAUUGUUAAAAGUAGGCUAACAGAUCAUUAGCUGGAGAGGAAAUCAGAUGAUUAUUGACCUUCUUGAGACAAGAGGGUACAUGAGAAACUAAUUACUAAACAGCUUGACAAAUGGCCUGAGUAGAUACUUACUGCUGUACACAGGAUGUUGUAUAAUAUUUUGUAAAGCCUGUUGUUUUUGGAAGUAUUUAUGGUAAGCUUUCUUAAAAAUUAUUAUGGUAAAUACUUCUGAAAUCCGGCAUACUUUUCUUUAAGCUUUGUCAUUUCUGUUAUGAUUUUUCAUGGUGAAAUUUUGGUACUGAGAUGGGCAUUCUCUGUACCUUUAUAGUACCACUCCAAAGGCAAGGAACCAUGAUUGACAACAGUCAAGCUGUGGAUGAAAUGACCAGGAACGGAGAAUGAAGUAUGUAAAUCCCAGCUUCAUAGGAACUCUUCUCAUACUGCUUUUCAGAUUAAAAUUGCUGUUUACCUGG
rnacentral:lncRNA from 1 species